rnacentral:rRNA from 1 species
UACGAAGGGGGCUAGCGUUGUUCGGAUUUACUGGGCGUAAAGCGCGUGUAGGCGGGUCGUUAAGUUGGGGGGGAAAUCCCGAGGCUCAACCUCGGAACUGCCUUCAAAACUGGCGACCUGGACUCAAGUAGAGGCAAGUGGAAUUGCGAGUGUAGAGGUGAAAUUCGUAGAUAUUCGCAGGAACACCAGUGGCGAAGGCGACUUGCUGGACUUGUAGUGACGCUGAGACGCGAAAGCGUGGGGAGCAAACAGG